UUUUUUUUUUGUUGUGUUGAUCGCUAUCUUCUUACCGGUACGUCUCUGAUCGCUAGCUUCUAGUAUGCUAUAAAGGAAAAAAAUCUUGUGCCUUUUGUUUUUUAUUACAUUUUUCGCCCUUACAUUGUGUACAUGAAUUUUCAAUAAAUACAAAGUUUGAUCAAAACAUAGUCAUGGAUUUAAAUAAAUAUUUUCAAACUACAAAAAUGUUAAUGAACACGUUCUAAUAUAUGGUGAACAAUUUGUUUUAAAAGGUUCACAAAUUUGAGAAAAAAUGUUGUUGAAAUUUAAAACUGUUUACCGGCAUGACAAAAGUGUUCAAAUAUUUAAAAAAUGAAAGUUUCUCAUUAAUUCUAAAAAAUUCAUGAAUUUAAAAUUUCCAAAUAUUGAUAAAUCUUUUUUAAAAUGCAACUAAAUUUUCUAAAAUAAAUUAUGUGAACUUUAAAGCAUGAUGUUCCUAAAAAUAUGUGGUGCAAGUUGUGAGUCGAUAGUUGUCUUACAACUGGGAUAAAUGAGAUGGGCCCAGUUACCAGUCGAGUGGGACAACAAAAACCUAUGGGUCUAAUUACGAAUCGAGGGGUGGGCUUGCAACUGGGGAAAAUGGGUCGGGGCCAGUUGUGUAUCGAAGGUAGACUUGCAACUAGAAAAGAAUGGAUCCGGCUCUAGUUGCGUGUCAAGAGUGGACUUGCAGCUGGGACAAGAAAAUGCACUUGACCCUCGAUUGCAUGUCAGUGAUGCAGUUGCAGCUGGGAUAAAAAAAAUCACCCCCAGUUGCAUGUCGAGAGUAGACUUCUAACUGAGAUAAAAAUGGUUAGACCUAGUUACGUCCCGAGGCAUAACUUACAACUAGGACAAGAAAAUAGACUUGACCCUCGAUUGCAUGUCAGGGGUGCAAUUGCGGCUAGGAUAAAAAAGAGUCAGACACCCCCACCCCAGUUGGGUGUCGAGGGUGGACCUGCAACUGGAAAAAAAUGGGUCCGACCCCAUUUGCGUCUCAAUGAUGGACUUACAAUUGAUACAAUAAAAGAUGGGCCACCCCAAUUGCAUGCCGAGGGUGGAGUUGCAACUGGGCAAAAAUGCCCCCUCUCUAGUUGCAUGUCUAGGAUAAACUUGCAGCCGUGAAAAAAAUGAUAGGCGCUGCAUAUCAAGGGUGGAUUUGCAAUUAGGACAAAAAAAGUGGGCCCCAAAGUUCUAUCUCGGGUGUGGAGUUGCAAUUGGGACAAAAGGUUCAAACUCCUAAUUACUUGUCAAGAGGGUGCACUUAUAACUAGGACAAAAAAUGAUCAAGCUCAGUUAUGUAGUAAGGAUGGACUUACAACUAGAACAACAGAAGGUUCAUGAGUUUAUCAUCAAAUAAAUAGAAAAGAGAACAGAGAAAAAAAGGAAACAAAAAAAUUAAAAUAAAAUAAUCAUCUAAGUCUACAACACGGAUUCAAAAUAAAUAAAUGAACAAAAAAUAAAAAUAGAAAGAAGAAGAAAAUACAACAAACAAAAUCAAGGCUGAAUCACGGCUCAGUGGAUAAAAAGAGAGCAGCGAGUCAAGAAAUGUCGAGGCCUUACGGACACCGAAGCUUAACACGCACAAAAACUGACUGACCACCACAAUACGGAAUUAAAAAUGUUGUAACUCGCACAAUGUCAAAAUCGACACAACUCGACGAUGGACGCGAGCCAUGAAACAACCCAAGUGCACGGCAACAUAACCAUACGACAACAAAAGUAAGCUGUGAAACAGGCCGACAAUGCGGCAUAUAUUAAAGUGUUGCAUGAAAAUUUCAACAACAAAAGGUCAUGCGUUAAAAACUUAGAUGAGAUUGUGCAGAUCAUGACAUGUACAACUGUGCGUCAAAAUGGCGAACAUACAAUGACCGAUCAAUUAUUCGACAAAAAAUACCCCCAAAAAAUUAUUUUCCAUGGGUCUCGACUUGAAAGGUUAUGCCUAUAUGACAAAAAAUAAAACACACAAAAUAAAAAAGAAUCUUCAAAAAAAUGGAACAAAAACAGAGGCCAUAAACUAGCACUCAGAUUGUCUCUUCCAUUCAUAUAACGGGNNNNNNNNNNNNNNNNNNNNNNNNNNNNNNNNNNNNNNNNNNNNNNNNNNNNNNNNNNNNNNNNNNNNNNNNNNNNNNNNNNNNNNNNNNNNNNNNNNNNNNNNNNNNNNNNNNNNNNNNNNNNNNNNNNNNNNNNNNNNNNNNNNNNNNNNNNNNNNNNNNNNNNNNNNNNNNNNNNNNNNNNNNNNNNNNNNNNNNNNNNNNNNNNNNNNNNNNNNNNNNNNNNNNNNNNAAAAAUGUCCAUGAAAAUGGCCCAAACAAACAGAUUGUGUGGGCGCGAAAUGCCUGACAAUCAGACAAGCGACGCACCAGAGGGUCCGCGAGCGACAAAAACAAUCAGCUAUCAAAAGUUUGCAGGAGAUUUACAACAACAGAUCGAACGGAUAGGAACUAAGUUGAGACAUGGCUAAAUCUCAUCUAGGUGAGAUUUAGCAAAAAAGGACCAAAAUAAAUAUUGCCAAAAAUAAAAUGUGUUCACAAAUUUAACAAAUAGUCAUGAAACAAAAAAAUUACGUGCAUGGCAGGUGGACAUACAAGUGAGUCAGGGUCGGCUAAAUUACGUGUCUAGAAUGGACAUGCAGCAAGAUCGGGAUCGGACAAGUUGCAUAAUAAAGAUGCACAUGCAACUAGGUUGAAACGUAGUAUGUUGUAUGCCAAAAUUAGACAUACAAAUGAAUUUCAAGCAAUUUUAUGUGCGUUAAAAAUAGACAUGGAACAUAUAAUUCCUAAGUGCUCGCCCACGCUCUGCCGACUCUUCAUAAUCGACGAAAAGAAGAACGGGAGUGAGAAGAAAGAGUGAGGAACAAGAUGAAAAGACAUGAAGAAAAUGUAUACCCGUGUCUUCUUAUUCUGUCCAUGACCUGCGUACAAACACCAGAAAAAUGCCAACGCCCAUAAACAAACAAUAACUAGAAAACAGCUAUGCCGACGUUGCUAGCCCGUAUAAACCAACAGCCCAAUAAAACGAGACAACCGUGUGAGAACAAACCUAGAAGGCCGACACAGCCAGGAGAAAACAUUGGCAACGAGCAACACGGAGCAAAUCAACAGUUUGCACGAAUAUUUAAGCUUUUGAUCAUGUGGUGGACAACUUAGAUGUGAGAUAGCUAUUUUACAGUAAAACUGUUUUUUUAAUCAGAUAUUUUUGCUCUUUACAUGAAACAUAUUAAAUUUUUUUUGCGACGGAGAAUGAUUUUUAUUCCAUAUGGAUAGGGUUACAAUUGAGAGGCAAUAAAUCCUCAACACAAGGUGGUCCUCUUGCUAGCCAUACAGCAGUAGUACUUUUCGUACGACUAUACAAAGCCAACCGAUCUGCUACCCUAUUUUGCUCACGUUUAAUUUUCGAAGGAAUAAAAACUCUAUCAGCCAUAAGAUGACGUAUUUCGCUACCAGAUGUCCAAAGGCCGACCUGGUGAGAUGCUCUCCUGUCAAAGCGGCCAGUGCCACCGAGGAGUCUGACUGAAUGAUGAUGGGUAAGGAGCAAUGUUGAAUAGCUAACGCCAUACCCUGCAUUACUGCAUGUAGCUCCGUCUCCACUGCCUCAUUGCAGUUGAAAAUGCAUCGGUACGCCGCAAAGAUGCCACUCCCGUCAUGCCGGCGCAAAACCAUUCCGGCCGUCGCCGAACCAUCAAUAGAAGAGAAGGACCCAUCAACCGACAGUGCCGCCUGGUCAAUACUUGGUCGUGGCCAUGGCGAGCAGGCUUCUUUCUGCACGGCUGGCUGCUCAUGUCUCAUCGGCAUCUUCCCUUUUAUGAUCUCCUUUGUUGUAUACCUCCUGGCCAAAUCUAGUAAUUGCAUGUAGCUCUGGAGGUAUGUUGCAGUCGCUGCCACCGGUGGAACUUCCUUCCCAUGCGCCCCGUCAGACCGCAAAUUCCAUAUCCUCCAUAGCAUCAUAAUCAUGGAAUCCUGCAUCAUGUCAUCGCAGUUUGCCAGGACAUUUAGCAACCACUCUUGCCCAGUAUCCCGAAGGAGCUCUUGAUCAGGUAGCCUCCAUACUAUGCGCAUCUGGGAUACACACUUGGCGGGCAUGAGUGCAUGUCACCAGCGCAUGAAAACUAGUCUCUCUCUCCCUUCCGCAUAGAGGACAGCUAUCUCUAGUAGAGAUAUGUCUACAUUUGUUGCAAGCAUUAGUUGGGAGAGCUCCAGACACCACUUUCUAGGCCAUAAUCCUCAUCUUGAGGGGCACCUUGGCCCCCCAUAUUCGUUGCCAUACAAACCUCUGGCCGGUCGGGCUGUUGCUUGACGCGCAAAGAUUGAGUAAAGUCUCAUGAGCAAGUCGAUACGCCGACCAAACUGUAAACAUGCCACUUUUCUCCGGAAACCACGCAAGGAAAUCCUGGCCGCUUCUCGGUGAUGUUCUUAUCUUUAAGAUUUCUCGCACGUCUAGGUCCCAAAAGUGUUCUCGCAGCCUUUGCACAUUCCAUGCCCCAUGUUCAUCAAUAAAAUCAACCACCCAAUUGAAUCUACAAUUGCGCUUUGGUGUUACUGGCCGAAAAUAAUUUCCCCUUGGGAUCCAAGGAUCUCGCCAUGUCUUGACUAAGGUACCAUCACCCACACGCCAAAUUAUGCCUUUUUCAAUAAGUCCAGUCCAUGGAUUAUCCCCUUCCACACCGCGGAAGAGCUCGCGGGAAACACUGUAUCAAGCAAAUUACCACGAGGAUAAUACUUAGCCCGUAGUAAUCUAGCACACAAACUAUCCGGGCUGUACAAUAGGCGCCAAGCUUGCUUAGCAAGCAAAGCUUGGUUGAACGCUCUCAUAUCCUUAAACCCCAUGCCCCCCAUAGACUUGGGUAAUGUCAUUUUCUCCCAGCUGAGCCAAGCCAUCUUCCUCUUGCCUUUCUCCACCCCCACCAGUACUGCCUCAUCAUUCUAGUUAACUCAUCACAAACAGACGCCGGGAGACGGAACACACUCAUCACAUACGUUGGGAUUGCUUGUGCCACUGUCUUUAUCAAGAUUUCUUUGUUGCCCGAAGACACAUACUGCUCACUCCAAUCCACGGCCUUUUCCUUAAUCUUUCCUGAAUAGUUUCAAAUUGCCCUUUAUGCAUUCUCCCUUCGGGCACCGGAAGACCCAAGUACUUGGGUUCAAAUACUUGUUGUGAGAUAUCCAGGAUACUCUUCACAUCAACCGCCACCGCCGCAUCGCAGUUGUCAGAAAUUAGGAUGGAACACUUUUUAGGGUUAAUAAGUUGACCUGUCGCAUUAGUAUAAGUGUUCAACAAACCUUUAACAAUGCCUUCUUGCUGGCCUGAAGCUUCAAAUAACAACAUAGUAUCAUCCGCAAAUACCAGAUGAGAAAUCACUGGUGCCCCUCGGCAUAUAGAAACUCCCCUCAAUUCCCCUCCAUCAACUGAUUUAGAGAUAAGAGUAGAGAGCGCGUUAGCAACAAAGAGGAAUAAGAACGGGGACAAAGAAUCACCUUGCCGUAAUCGCCUAGACGGGGCAAAGACCUCCAAAAGUUUCCCAUUGAAUUUUACUGAGUAAGUGACUGACUUAACACAUGCCAUAAUCCAAGUUAGCCACUCAGCAGAGAAGCCCCACUUGGUUAGUGCCUGCUCCAAAAAAUCCCAAUCAACCCGAUCAUAAGCCUUUGACAGGUCCAAUUUAUAUGCACAUGUUGCUCCACUGUUUGGCUUCAGAUUUUGUAUAUGAUGGAUACACUCAAAAGCAAUUAUAGAAUUAUCUGAUAUAAGCCGGCCUGGAAUAAACGCACUUUGGUUUUCAGAGAUCAACUCCGAAAGCACAAAACGAAGGCGAUUCACCAAGCACUUAAACAUUAUUUUAUAAACCACAUUGCAUAAACUUAUCGGCCAAAAAUCCUUGAGUUCCUUAGGAUGAGGGACUUUCAGAAUAAGGAAAAUUGCCGUAGCAUUAACACUCUCCGGCAUCACUCCCGACCUGAAAAAAUCCAAGACAGCCGCAACAAUUUCAGAUUUCAAAACAGCCCAGUUACGCUGGAAAAACCUAGCAGGUAGUCCAUCCGUUCCAGGUGCUUUCAAAGGCCCUAUUUGAAACAGGGCAUUCGACACCUCCUCCUCCGAGAACGGGGCGCAUAAAGUAUCAUUCAUUUCUCGCGUAACUUUUGGUAUAAUGCUAUCCAAUACAACCUCUGGUGUCAAGGUCGGAUCUUUCGUAUAAACUUCCUUAAAGUAGGACAUCGCCAUGUGUUCCAUAUCAGUCAGAACGGAACACCAAGAGCCAUCGAUACGUCCAGCCGCUGAAUAUAGCUUCUCCGCGCACGCCACACCGCUCUUCGAUGGAGGUAAGUUGUAUUUCUCUCGCCCUCUUUUAGCCACGUGAUCCGCGAACGCUGUAACCAAAGCAUCUCCUCUCUAUAUAGUAACUCAUCCAUCUGUUGCAUUUUCUGCCUUAAAACAGCCUUGUCCGCAUCCUGCAACUGCAAGUUUGUAAGCUUCUGACGCAACUUCUCCAAUUCAAAAGUGACAUGCCCAAAAUUUUCCUUAGUCCAUGCACGUAACCUGUUCAUCAUCUCCUUUAGUGCGUCUCGGACUGCACCCAGGUUCCCCGCAGGCUUGCUUUUCCCCCAGCUCUCAGCCACCAUGGCACCCAACGCGGGGUGGCGCUCCCACAUUAUUUCAUACCUGGGCGAAGCUUUAGUCCGCAGGGGUUCACCUUGUGCAUAUUGAACAAGAACCGGGGCAUGAUCUGAACAAGACGAAGCCAGGUGCCGCACUCGCGUGAAAGGGAACAGAUCCAUCCAUGCUUCGUCGGCACAUGCUCUGUCCAGUCUGACCUUGACAUUACCAUCACCCUGUUGACCAUUGUCAUAAGUGAACGGGAUUCCAGAAAAACCCAAAUCCAUAAGCUCGCAGGACGUCAGGCGGUCCCUAAACAAAACCAUCUGACUUUUCGCUCGUUGAACACGCGAAAAGUGUUUGUGCUGCCACAAUGCUUCAUUGAAGUCACCACACACUAGCCACGGUUUUGCUGAAAUCGCUCGUAGUGUAGUCAAGGAAGUCCACAUGCGAUGGCGGUUUUCCACUCGUGGUUCGCCAUACACAAAGGUAGUCCUCCAGGAUUUAUCAUUGGCAAUAUCCACGAUCUGCUGCGCAUCAAUAUACCGUGCACACGUAUCCAAAACUGUCACCUGCAACUUCUCAUCCCAGUAGAGAGCAAGCCCCCCACUGCGGCCAUCACUAGAUACACUCAUGAAACCCUUCAUUUGUAGUCUCCACUUUAGUCUCUCCAUCUUACUUGAGGCUUGACGUGUUUCCGAAAGAAAAAUCAGCCCCGGGGAAUUGGCUUUUGAGAGGGCCAAAACCUCACGAAGUGUCCGGCGGUCCCCCCGGUAGUUCCACAUUAACAGACUCAUUGUACCCGGCGGUCCUCCUUGAGGGAGGCCGCCGAUCUAUCACCAGAAAAUCCUUCAGAACCAACACGAGCUCUUUUACUAUUUGAGCUGCUUGCAGGAGACUUGUCCUCAUCCCCCUCCUCGCCCAGUCCUUGGGUUAAAGCCAACACUCCCACAUAAUUUGGGUUGCUCUUAUUACCUUUCUCUAAAUUUUCCAGCUCCAUGGCUAGUCUUUUCCUAACAGAUGGAUCCACCUGCAUAUUCACAUGACACCCCUUCAAUGGGCUGGAGGCAGUAUCCUGUACUUCUGGAUCCAUGCAAGCCUUCCCGGUCUUCUGUUUCUGCUGGGAAUACUCUGUAUAUUUAUACCUCGACCAAACACAUCCUCCGAUCGUGUAUUGUUAAUGCCAUCUUGAAGUCGUGUCCAACUAUUCCACACACACUGCAGAAUCGAGCCAGCUUCUCAUAGCGCACCAAAAACACCUGCCGCUUUUGACCCCUAACAAUACUGACGUAUUUUGUGAGGGGCUCGCGAACAUCAUGGCGAACCCUAAUUCUGACAUAAUCACCACGGGUAUUUCCGUUUAAUCUCAUCUCCAUGAUUUCCCCAACGUUCUUGAGUAAGGACUCUACUAUACUUCUCUUGCAGAAUCCGUCCGGGAGUUUGUGGAUCUGCAGCCAAAUUGGCAUAAACACCAUCGAUACCUCUUCUGCCUUCGUGAAUCCAUCGUAUGGGCACAUCGGCACAAUCCAGUUUCUGAACAGCCAAGGGCCUUGCUCGAGUAUCCGCUCCCAAUCGCCUAGGCACGAUGCUUGGACAACAAACAGAUUCGGGCCGACUGGCCGAAACCUUACAUGCUGCGCAGUGUUCCACGCCGCCCGCAUAUCCUUGUAGAUGUUGGGGAACGUAGUAAUUUCAAAAAAAUUCCUACGCACACGCAAGAUCAUGUGAUGCAUAGAAACGAGGGGGAGAGUAUUGUCUACGUACCCAACGCAGACCGACUGCGGAAGCGAUGACACGACGUAGAGGAAGUAGUCGUACGUCUUCACGAUCCAACCGAUCAAGCACCGAAACUACGGCACCUCCGAGUUCGAGCACACGUUCAGCUCGAUGACGAUCCCCGGACUCCGAUCCAGCAAAGUGUCGGGGAAGAGUUCCGUCAGCACGACGGCGUGGUGACGAUCUUGAUGAACUACAGCAGCAGGGCUUCGCCUAAACUCCGCUACAGUAUUAUCGAGGAAUAUGGUGGCAGGGGGCACCGCACACGGCUAAGGAACAGAUCACGUGGAUCAACUUGUGUGUUCUAGGGUGCCUCUACCUCAGUAUAUAAAGGAGCCAAGGGGGGAGGGGGGCGCCGGCCAGGGAGAGAGGCGCAGGAGGAGUCCUACUCCUUCCGGGAGUAGGACUCCCCCCCAAUCCUAUUCCAACUAGGAUUCCCAAGGGGGAAAGGGGAAGAAGGGUGGCCGGCCACCUCUCCUAGUCCUAAUAGGACUAGGGGAAGGGGGGAGGCGUGCAGCCCUUCUGGGCAGCCCCUUCACCUUUCCACUAAGGCCCAUGAAGGCCCAUAUGGCUCCCGGGGGGUUCCGGUAACCUCCCGGUAAUCCGGUAAAAUCCCGAUUUCACCCGGAACACUUCCGAUGUCCAAACAUAGGCUUCCAAUAUAUCAAUCUUUACGUCUCGACCAUUUCGAGACUCCUCGUCAUGUCCGUGAUCACAUCCGGGACUCCGAACAACCUUCGGUACAUCAAAACUCAUAAACUCAUAAUAUAAUUGUCAUCGAAACCUUAAGCGUGCGGACCCUACGGGUUCGAGAACAAUGUAGACAUGACCGAGACACGUCUCCAGUCAAUAACCAAUAGCGGGACCUGGAUGCCCAUAUUGGCUCCUACAUAUUCUACGAAGAUCUUUAUCGGUCAGACCGCAUAACAACAUACGUUGUUCCCUUUGUCAUCGGUAUGUUACUUGCCCGAGAUUCGAUCGUCGGUAUCCAAUACUUAGUUCAAUCUCGUUACCGGCAAGUCUCUUUACUCGUUCCGUAAUACAUCAUCUCACAACUAACAUAUUAGUUGUAAUGCUUGCAAGGCUUAUGUGAUGUGUAUUACCGAGAGGGCCCAGAGAUACCUCUCCGACAAUCGGAGUGACAAAUCCUAAUCUCGAAAUAUGCCAACCCAACAUCUACUUUUGGAGAUACCUGUAAUGCUCCUUUAUAAUCACCCAGUUACGUUGUGACGUUUGGUAGCACCCAAAGUGUUCCUCCGGCAAACGGGAGUUGCAUAAUCUCAUAGUCAUAGGAACAUGUAUAAGUCAUGAAGAAAGCAAUAGCAACAUACUAAACGAUCGUGUGCUAAGCUAAUGGAAUGGGUCAUGUCAAUCAGAUCAUUCAACUAACGAUGUGACCUUUUUAAUCAAAUAACAACUCAUUGUUCAUGGUUAGAAAACAUAACCAUCUUUGAUUAACGAGCUAGUCAAGUAGAGGCAUACUAGUGACACUUUGUUUGUCUAUGUAUUCACACAUGUAUUAUGUUUCCGAUUAAUACAAUUCUAGCAUGAAUAAUAAACAUUUAUCAUGAUUAUAAGGAAAUAAAUAAUAACUUUAUUAUUGCCUCUAGGGCAUAUUUCCUUCAGUCUCCCACUUGCACUAGAGUCAAUAAUCUAGAUUACACUGUAAUGAUUCUAACACCCAUGGAGCUUUGGUGCUGAUCAUGUUUUGCUCGUGGAAGAGGCUUAGUCAACGGGGCUGCAACAUUCAGAUCCGUAUGUAUCUUGCAAAUCUCUAUGUCUCCCACCUGGACUAGAUCCCAGAUGGAAUUGAAGCGUCUCUUGAUGUGUUUGGUCCUUUUGUGAAAUCUGGAUUCCUUUGCCAAGGCAAUUGCACCAGUGUUGUCACAAAAGAUUUUCAUUGGACCCGAUGCACUAGGUAUGACACCUAGAUCGGAUAUGAACUCCUUCAUCCAGACUCCUUCAUUUGCUGCUUCCGAAGCAGCUAUGUACUCCGCUUCACAUGUAGAUCCCGCUACGACGCUUUGUUUAGAACUUCACCAACUGACUGCUCCACCGUUUAAUGUAAACACGUAUCCGGUUUGCGAUUUAGAAUCGUCCGGAUCAGUGUCAAAGCUUGCAUCAACGUAACCUUUUACAGUGAGCUCUUUGUCACCUCCAUAUACGAGAAACAUAUCCUUAGUCCUUUUCAGAUAUUUCAGGAUGUUCUUGACCGCUGUCCAGUGAUCCACUCCUGGAUUACUUUGGUACCUCCCUGCUAAACUUAUAGCAAGGCACACAUCAGGUCUGGUACACAACAUUGCAUACAUGAUAGAGCCUAUGGCUGAUGCAUAGGGAACAUCUUUCAUAUUCUCUCUAUCUUCUGCAGUGGUCGGGCAUUGAGUCUUACUCAACUUCACACCUUGUAACACAGGCAAGAAUCCUUUCUUUGCUUGAUCCAUUUUGAACUUCUUCAAAAUUUUGUCAAGGUAUGUGCUUUGUGAAAGUCCAAUUAAGCGUCUUGAUCUAUCUCUAUAGAUCUUAAUGCCUAAUAUGUAAGCAGCUUCACCGAGGUCUUUCAUUGAAAAACUUUUAUUCAGGUAUCCCUUUAUGCUAUCCAGAAAUUCUAUAUCAUUUCCAAUCAGUAAUAUGUCAUCCACAUAUAAUAUCAGAAAUGCUACAGAGCUCCCACUCACUUUCUUGUAAAUACAGGCUUCUCCGAAAGUCUAUAUAAAACCAAAUGCUUUGAUCACACUAUCAAAACGUUUAUUCCAACUCCGAGAGGCUUGCACCAGUCCAUAAAUGGAUCGCUGGAGCUUGCACACUUUGUUAGCUCCCUUUGGAUCGACAAAACCUUCCGGUUGCAUCAUGUACAACUCUUCUUCCAGAAAUCCAUUCAGGAAUGCAGUUUUGACAUCCAUCUGCCAAAUUUCAUAAUCAUAAAACGCGGCAAUCGCUACGGGUGAUUCGGACAGACUUAAGCAUCGCUACGGGUGAGAAAGUCUCAUCGUAGUCAACCCCUUGAACUUGUCGAAAACCUUUCGCGACAAGUCGAGCUUUGUAGACAGUAACAUUACCAUCAGCGUUAGUCUUCUUCUUGAAGAUCCAUUUAUUCUCAAUUGCUUGCCGAUCAUCGGGCAAGUCAACCAAAGUCCAUAUUUUGUUCUCAUACAUGGAUCCCAUCUCAGAUUUCAUGGCUUCAAGCCACUUUGCGGAAUCUGGGCUCACCAUCGCUUCUUCAUAGUUCGUAGGUUCAUCAUGAUCUAGUAGCAUGACUUCCAGAACAGGAUUACCGUACCACUCUGGUGUUGAUCUUACUCUGGUUGACCUACGAGGUUCAGUAGUAUCUUGUUCUGAAGUUUCAUGAUCAUUAUCAUUAACUUCCUCACUUAUUGGUGUAAGUGUCGCAGAAACAGUUUUCUGUGAUGUACUACUUUCCAAUAAGGGAGCAGGUACAGUUACCUCGUCAAGUUCUACUUUCCUCCCACUCACUUCUUUCGAGAGAAACUCCUUCUCAAGAAAGUUUCCUAAUUUAGCAACAAAAGUCUUGCCUUCGGAUCUGUGAUAGAAGGUGUAUCCAAUAGUUUCCUUUGGAUAUCCUAUGAAGACACAUUUCUCCGAUUUGGGUUCGAGCUUAUCAGGUUGAAGUUUUUUCACAUAAGCAUCGCAGCCCCAAACUUUCAGAAACGACAACUUUGGUUUCUUGCCAAACCACAGUUCAUAAGACGUCGUCUCAACGGAUUUUGAUGGUGCCCUAUUUAACGUGAAUGCGGCCGUCUCUAGAGCGUAUCCCCAAAAUGAUAGCGGUAAAUCAGUAAGAGACAUCAUAGAUCGCACCAUAUCUAGUAAAGUACGAUUACGACGUUCAGACACACCAUUACGCUAUGGUGUUCCGGGUGGCGUGAGUUGCGAAACUAUUCCAUAGUUUUUCAAAUGUACACCAAACUCGUAACUCAAAUAUUCUCCUCCACGAUCAGAUCGUAGAAACUUUAUUUUCUUGUUACGAUGAUUUUCAACUUCACUCUGAAAUUUUUUGAACUUUUCAAAUGUUUCAGACUUAUGUUUCAUUAAGUAGAUAUAUCCAUAUCUGCUCAAACCAUCUGUGAAGGUGAGAAAAUAACGAUAUCCGCCACGAGCCUCAAUAUUCAUCGGACCACAUACAUCGGUAUGUAUGAUUUCCAACAAAUAUGUUGCUCUCUCCAUAGUACCGGAGAACGGUGUUUUAGUCAUCUUGCCCAUGAGGCACGGUUCGCAAGUACCAAGUGAUUCAUAAUCAAGUGGUUCUAAAAGUCCAUCAGUAUGGAGUUUCUUCAUGCGCUUUACACCGAUAUGACCUAAACGACAGUGCCACAAAUAAGUUGCACUUUCAUUAUCAACUCUGCAUCUUUUGGCUUCAACAUUAUGAAUAUGUGUAUUACUACUAUCGAGAUUCAAUAAAAAUAGACCACUCUUCAAGGGUGCAUGACCAUAGAAGAUAUUACUCAUAUAAAUAGAACAACCAUUAUUCUCUGAUUUAAAUGAAUAACCGUCUCGUAUUAAACAAGAUCCAGAUAUAAUGUUCAUGCUCAACGCUGGCACCAAAUAACAAUUAUUUAGGUCUAAUAUUAAUCCCGAAGGUAGAUGUAGAGGUAGCGUGCCGACCGCGAUCACAUCGACUUUGAACCGUUUCCCACGCGCAUCGUCACCUCGUCCUUAGCCAAUCUUCGCUUAAUCUGUAGCCCCUGUUUCGAGUUGCAAAUAUUAGCAACAGAACCAGUAUCAAAUACCCAGGUGCUACUGCGAGCAUUAGUAAGGUACACAUCAAUAACAUGUAUAUCACAUAUACCUUUGUUCACCUUGCCAUCCUUCUUAUCCGCCAAAUACUUUGGGCAGUUCCGCUUCCAGUGACCAGUCUGCUUACAGUAGAAGCACUCAGUUUCAGGCUUAGGUCCAGACUUGGGUUUCUUCUCUUGAGCAGCAACUUGUUUGCCGUUCUUCUUGAAGUUCCCCUUCUUCUUCCCUUUGCCCUUUUUCUUGAAACUAGUGGUUUUGUUUACCAUCAACACUUGAUGCUCCUUUUUGAUUUCUACCUCCGCAGCUUUCAGCAUUGCGAAGAGCUCGGGAAUAGUCUUGUUCAUCCCUUGCAUAUUAUAGUUCAUCACGAAGCGCUUGUAGCUUGGUGGCAGUGAUUGGAGAAUUCUGUCAAUGAUGCAAUCAUCUGGAAGAUUAACUCCCAAUUGAAUCAAGUGAUUAUUAUACCCAGACAUUUUGAGUAUAUGCUCACUGAUAGAACUGUUCUCCUCCAUCUUGCAGCUAUAGAACAUAUUAGAGACUUCAUAUCUCUCAAUUCGGGCAUUUGCUUGAAAUAUUAACUUCAACUCCUAAAACAUCUCAUAUGCUCCAUGACGUUCAAAACGUCGUUGAAGUCCCGAUUCUAAGCCGUAAAGCAUGGCACACUGAACUAUCGAGUAGUCAUCAGCUUUGCUCUGCCAGACGUUCAUAACAUCUGGUGUUGCUCCAGUAGCAGGCCUGGCACCCAGCGGUGCUUCCAGGACGUAAUUCUUCUGUGCAGCAAUGAGGAUAAUCCUCAAGUUACGGACCCAGUCCGUGUAAUUGCUACCAUCAUCUUUCAACUUUGCUUUCUCAAGGAACGCAUUAAAAUUCAACGGAACAACAACACGAGCCAUCUAUCUACAAUCAACAUAAAUAAGCAAGAUACUAUUAGGUACUAAGUUCAUGAUAAAUUUAGUUCAAUUAAUCAUAUUACUUAAGAACUCCCACUUAGAUAGACAUCCCUCUAAUCCUCUAAGUGAUCACGUGAUCCAAAUCAACUAAACCAUGUCCGAUCAUCACGUGAGAUGGAGUAGUUUCAUCGGUGAACAUCAUUAUGUUGAUCAUAUCUACUAUAUGAUUCACGCUCGACCUUUCGGUCUCCGUGUUCCGAGGCCAUAUCUGUAUAUGCUUGGCUCGUCAAGUAUAACCUGAGUAUUCCGCGUGUGCAACUGUUUUGCACCCGUUGUAUUUGAAUGUAGAGCCUAUCACACCCGAUCAUCACGUGGUGUCUUAGCACGAAGAACUUUCGCAACGGUGCAUACUCAGGGAGAACACUUCUUGAUAAUUUAGUGAGAGAUCAUCUUAUAAUGCUACCGUCAAUCAAAGCGAGAUAAGAUGCAUAAAAAGAUAAACAUCACAUGCAAUCAAUAUAAGUGAUAUGAUAUGGCCAUCAUCAUCUUGUGCUUGUGAUCUCCAUCUCCGAAGCACCGUCAUGAUCACCAUCGUCACCGGCGCGACACCUUGAUCUCCAUCGUAGCAUCGUUGUCGUCUCGCCAAUCUUAUGCUUCCACGACUAUCACUACCGUUUAGUAAUAAAGUAAAGCAUUACAUCGCGAUUGCAUUGCAUACAAUAAAGCGACAACCAUAUGGCUCCUGCCAGUUGCCGAUAACUUGGUUACAAAACAUGAUCAUCUCAUACAAUAAAAUUCAGCAUCAUGCCUUGACCAUAUCACAUCACAACAUGUCCUGCAAAAACAAGUUAGACGUCUUCUACUUUGUUGUUGCAUGUUUUGCGUGGCUGCUACGGGCUUAAGUAAGAACCAAUCUCACCUACGCAUCAAAACCACAAUGAUAGUUUGUCAAAUAGACUCCGUUUUAACCUUCGCAAGGACCGGGCGUAGCCACACUCGGUUCAACUAAAGUUGGAGAGACAGUCGCCCGCAAGCCAUCUAUGUGCAAAGCACGUCGAGGGAACCGGUCUCGCGUAAGCGUACGCGUAAGGUUGGUCCGGGUCGUCUCGUCCAACAAUACCGCCGAACCAAAGUAUGACAUGCUGGUAGGCAGUAUGACUUGUAUCGUCCACAACUCACUUGUGUUCUACUCGUGCAUAUAACAUCAACAUAAAUAACCUAGGCUUGGAUGCCACUGUUGGGGAACGUAGUAAUUUCAAAAAAAUUCCUACGCACACGCAAGAUCAUGUGAUGCAUAGCAACGAGGGGGGGAGUAUUGUCUACGUACCCAACGCAGACCGACUGCGGAAGCGAUGACACGACGUAGAGGAAGUAGUCGUACGUCUUCACGAUCCAACCGAUCAAGCACCGAAACUACGGCACCUCCGAGUUCGAGCACACGUUCAGCUCGAUGACGAUCCCCGGACUCCGAUCCAGCAAAGUGUCGGGGAAGAGUUCCGUCAGCACGACGGCGUGGUGACGAUCUUGAUGAACUACAGCAGCAGGGCUUCGCCUAAACUCCGCUACAGUAUUAUCGAGGAAUAUGGUGGCAGGGGGCACCGCACACGGCUAAGGAACAGAUCACGUGGAUCAACUUGUGUGUUCUAGGGUGCCUCUACCUCAGUAUAUAAAGGAGCCAAGGGGGGAGGGGGCGCCGUCCAGGGAGAGAGGCGCAGGAGGAGUCCUACUCCUUCCGGGAGUAGGACUCCCCCCCCCCCAAUCCUAUUCCAACUAGGAUUCCCAAGGGGGAAAGGGGAAGAAGGGUGGCCGGCCACCUCUCCUAGUCCUAAUAGGACUAGGGGAAGGGGGGAGGCACGCAGCCCUUGUGGGCAGCCCCUUCACCUUUCCACUAAGGCCCAUGAAGGCCCAUAUGGCUCCCGGGGGGCUCCGGUAACCUCCCGGUAAUCCGGUAAAAUCCGGAUUUCACCCGGAACACUUCUGAUGUCCAAACAUAGGCUUCCAAUAUAUCAAUCUUUACGUCUCGACCAUUUCGAGACUCCUCGUCAUGUCCGUGAUCACAUCCGGGACUCCGAACAACCUUCGGUACAUCAAAACUCAUAAACUCAUAAUAUAAUUGUCAUCGAAACCUUAAGCGUGCGGACCCUACGGGUUCGAGAACAAUGUAGACAUGACCGAGACACGUCUCCGGUCAAUAACCAAUAGCGGGACCUGGAUGCCCAUAUUGGCUCCUACAUAUUCUACGAAGAUCUUUAUCGGUCAGACCGCAUAACAACAUACGUUGUUCCCUUUGUCAUCGGUAUGUUACUUGCCCGAGAUUCGAUCGUCGGUAUCCAAUACUUAGUUCAAUCUCGUUACCGGCAAGUCUCUUUACUCGUUCCGUAAUACAUCAUCUCACAACUAACAUAUUAGUUGUAAUGCUUGCAAGACUUAUGUGAUGUGUAUUACCGAGAGGGCCCAGAGAUACCUCUCCGACAAUCGGAGUGACAAAUCCUAAUCUCGAAAUACGCCAACCCAACAUCUACUUUUGGAGAUACCUGUAAUGCUCCUUUAUAAUCACCCAGUUACGUUGUGACGUUUGGUAGCACCCAAAGUGUUCCUCCGGCAAACGGGAGUUGCAUAAUCUCAUAGUCAUAGGAACAUGUAUAAGUCAUGAAGAAAGCAAUAGCAACAUACUAAACGAUCGUGUGCUAAGCUAAUGGAAUGGGUCAUGUCAAUCAGAUCAUUCAACUAAUGAUGUGACCUCUUUAAUCAAAUAACAACUCAUUGUUCAUGGUUAGGAAACAUAACCAUCUUUGAUUAACGAGCUAGUCAAGUAGAGGCAUACUAGUGACACUUUGUUUGUCUAUGUAUUCACACAUGUAUUAUGUUUCCGAUUAAUACAAUUCUAGCAUGAAUAAUAAACAUUUAUCAUGAUUAUAAGGAAAUAAAUAAUAACUAAAUUAUUGCCUCUAGGGCAUAUUUCCUUCAGUAGAAGGCUGCCUGGCUGAAGCUUUUCUCUGUAUGAACCCUAGCAAGGGCCAACCAUCUCACGCACUCGUUGAUCACAGGAUCGUCCUCAUCAAUUACCAGAUCAUCAAAGUCUGUGUUGUCCAGAUUGAGUUGCUCUAGGAAAUCACCCAGAUCCGGCCUUCUGGCGGCGCCGCCACCACCGCUGGUUCCUGACUGGGCGUUCGCUGCAGGUUCCAUCGCUACCCGGGGCUAGGAACGGGCAGCGUACUCGCACACCCCACGCGAGUCGAGGGGCACUUGAUCGAAGCGGGGACUCGCUGGCGAUGCGAUCGCCAGAUAGGAGAAAAACCAAGGGGUGGUUCUCUAUGUAGCGGCACAUUUUUCAAAUUUUUUGCAUUGUAAGGAUAUGAAAUGAAAUGAAUAGCUUUAUUAACUUAAUUUAACAAGACAGUAUUUUGCUUCAUUUAUUUGUAUCAAUCCUUAACAUUACAGUGUGAAAAUGGACGGGCAGCGCGUAAGACUCUAAUCUAGGUUCCUCCUAAUUUUUUACCCAUUGUUGUGGAAACAACACAAGAAAGAUGGGGCAUGAACUUAGUUCCUGAGCUCAAAUAGUAGCAAUAAAUUCAAAAAAAUAAAUGUUUGGCCAACAAACAUUUUGAACUGUUCAGGCUGUGUGCAACAUUUUGUGAAAAAUAACAUUCAUCGUGGUCUAGAAAAUAAACAAAAUGGAUACUUACAAAACUAUCUUAAAGUUUGGGUCUAUCUAGGGCACAUCUAGAUAUGCUCUAGUUAUUGCACAUCUAAGUGACCCAAUCAAACUAGAAAGAAAAGGAAAAAAGACUUAGAUAUGCACGAAUCUUUACAUAAAAUCAAUGGUAUAGGACUUAGAUAUGCAAUAUUUAGGGCAUAUCUAGAUGUGCUUUAGCAAAACUGUUAAAUUUUUUUGAGUAUUUGUUUUUGCGAAGCACCAUGUAUGUUAUGUCUUCACGAAGUUCUGCAUGGAACUGCACACUCAAACGUGUUUGUUUUCAAAAAAAAUGUUUUUUGUUGGUUUGCCUGCAUUUACUAUUCACUUAGAUGCUUGUGAGUUCAGGAGCAGAAUGAAUAUGUGGGAAACAGAUUUUGAUAUUUUUUACACAUGAUGUUACCCUCAAAAUACCAUCCUGAAUAAUGCAUUUUGAUGUUCCUUGCAACGCACGGGCACCUUACUAUUCAGAAUAAAAGAGAAAGAUAAACUUUAAAAUAAAAAAUGAAAAGACAACGACACCGAGAGUCUUAGUGGGCGGCCAGAGAAAAGGAGCAGGGAAAGCAUAGGCCCGGUAAGGGAACGAUGGAACCAGCGUGACAAUUAGAUUAGAGGCCAAUCAUUUCCAGUCGACUAAAAAUAAAAAUUAUGUUUAUGUAGUACUCCUAUUAAGUCACGCACGACAGACUUAGGUCACCACAUAGAUCAUUACAUUUUUUAAGGUACACAGACAUUACAUACCACACACCUUGCCCAUGCACGCGUAGCUCUUUAUUUAGGUAGUACUCCCUUCGUCUCAGUAAUGUAAGACGUUAUUGGUCGCUACAACGGAGCAUGGUGAAUCAACUAAGGCAGAUGAUGGAGAUACGCCAGCGUACGUAACUGGCCAUGGGGGCGCACAGGUACGUGGACGUCGUAGAGCGCGCCAGCAAUGGCUGCAGCUAGCCACUUCAGUACUUCACCACCUACUGCCGUGCUUGCCGCCAUGGUACUUGCCUCCGUGCUUGCCGCCGUGGUGGUGCCCGCCGCCAUGCCCGGUGUGGUACGAUCCCAUGUGACC
rnacentral:lncRNA from 1 species